rnacentral:tRNA from 1 species
GCCUGGGUGGCUCAGUGGUUGAGCGUCUGCCUUUGGCUCAGGUUGUGAUCCUGGGGUCCUGGGAUCGAGUCCCACAUCGGGCU